GCAGGUGAGUUUUAGUGGGAAUAGUAUGGAAUAAUAUGCAGAAAUGUGUUAAUGUCCGUGUCAUGUGUUUUCCUGUACAAGAAAUGGUACAGGGCAAAUCUCUACACGUCUGGGAGAUAACAGUAAUGUAUUUAAAUACACCACUAAAAUUACCAAUAUACUGUUUAAUAUGUAUUUACAUUUUGUGCUGUUAAUCUCAUACACUGCAUAUAUUAAAUGUAUCACAAUAAAAUUGUCAUAUUUAAUCAUAGAUCUUUCAGAACAGCACAAGUAUUGAUAAGAUGAUAUUUGGAGAAAAUCAAUAACACUGUUGUUUUGCGGUGUUUAUAGUUUGUUUUUUCAAGGUUCAAAGCUACAGGUUCCAAUAUCUCUGAAUACUAUAUAUUUUAUAUAUUAACCUCAAAAUGUAAAUAAACAUUGAUUUAGGAUUUGGCUAAGAAUUAUAUAGACACAGUAAUCAUUGGUAACAUUUUACAAUAAAGAUGGCAAAGAACAGUACUACUGAGAGUAAUAAAUAUUGUUAAAUGGUGAGCUUAGGACUUCACUGCAAAUGAUAAAACACUAUAUCCUUCUCUAGAUUAAUUUGUAAUGUAUUCUGUUCUGUAAGGUAUUUGGCUUUUUGUGUGAUCUUAUUUUUUUCCUGUUUGUACCUCCCUCUUUUGGCCUCUCUUACAUCACUUCCUCAGGUUCCGAAUGGAUUCCUUUCUCCACUGGAGCAGUGGUGGCUCAGUGGUUAGAGCACCGGGCUGCUGAUGACAGGAAUGUGGGUUUGAUACCCAGGCUCUGCAAGCUGCCACGUCCCCUGUCCCGUGUUCACUGCACAGUUGGCGGAGGCCACAUUCCACAAUGCAUUGCAGGCCUGGUUUUCACCACAUCAGGAUACACUGCUGCUUGCUGAAUUCCGGUGUGAAACGGAGCGCUGGUGCACCGCAACGUGUGUGUUAUACACACACAUUCCUUUCCACACUGAAGGACAGGUGCCUCCAACGGACACUCACACACCCACACAUACACACACACAUACACACACAUGCACACACACACACAGUCACCACUCACAUGUAAAGAUGCUUUGUUGCAGCAACUCAAGUUAAUUCUGGUCUCUGGUUUUUACACCUAUACACACACUUACACAUUUACCUAAAUGUGUCGAAUAGAUAUAAAGAUAUAGAUAUAGAGAUAUAUCUGAUAUAUUGAUAACUAUACUCACCCUCUUUAAGCCUUUAACACACUCAAAUAUAUUAUAUAUAGGCUACAUGUCCAAGCUUACACAUUACUUUUAUGCCUAAAUCUAAUACCAUGAAACAGAUACACAUAGGUACAUACAUAAUACCCACAUAAUUCUGAUUAAGAAGGUGAAUGCCAGAGUUGUGAGUCCAGUAGGAAACAGUGUGUGAUUGAAUGAGAGAUGGGAUUGAGUUGGGCCUGGAACAGAUGUUGCCUCUCUCUCUCUCAUUUCUAACCAAAAGCUGCCAUCUUCUGGCCACAGUGAGGAAAGCACAACAUUUAUACAUUAUUUAAGCCCACAAAGGGUCCCUGACUCAUGACCACUUUCAUCAUCCUGUGCGUCUCUUCAGUCAGGCCCUCAUGGAAACUCCGGUUGGUUGUGAUGUGUAGUUAAAUAAUAACAGUAUCUGUGGACAGCAAUAUGACUUCACAUGGUGUAUAACAUUUCUUUUUAAAAUAAUGCAUUUUGGUUAAGGGUCAUAAAUCGCAUGAUCCCUUAGCUGUUAUGCAAUGCUGUGUUUGUUUGUGUCUGUCCUCAGAUGUGACUGUGAAUGUGUGUGUGUCUAUGUGUGUGUGUGUCUAUGUGUGUGUGUGUGUAUGUGUGUGUCUGCCAUCUUUAAGGGGAUGUGCUGGGUAACUGUUGCCCGCUCUGGGUUUCCGGACUGGGUGCCUGCAAACUGCCGGUUUCUCUCCACCUCUCCUUCUAUCUCUCUCUCCAUCACUCCAUCUAUCUCUCUAUCACAGCAGCCAGGCACUCAGCCAGGAUACUGUGGCGACACUACAGCAGGCUUCCGCUGCACAGCACCCAGCAAUACACUGAGGAGGACAGUGAAGUGAUGAGGAUAAAACACCUCCCCCUGUUUAUCAUCUCAGGCCACACAACAGGUCAAAAGGUCACUUGAAUGGUCAGCCAUAAACUCAGGCCACACCUCUGUAUAGUGAAGACCCUCAAAUUACUGUAUUAUUAUUCUGCAGCUGAAAUGAAUGGUUCUAUAGCUUACAUUAAUGUAAUACUGGUGUAAUACUGGUGUAUCGGGAGUGGGUUAACAUAGCCAGGCCAUAGUCCCAUUGAACAAACUGUAUUUUGAACAGUAGACCUUGUGAAAGGCUGCCAAAGGAGCAGCAGAUCUCUCUCACGAAAAAGUGGAUUGCCGGUGAAGACCCUUAUUCACCCUCCAGCUCAACACCAAGGGGGAACUACCCCAUGUAAACUAAAGGCACACACAUACACACACAUAACAUGUCCCUCAAAAAACAUUAAACUAAAUAACUCAAAAUAUAGAGGAUAGCCAGCCGCUGAUUAUGCUGUGAGCUCCAAUUUAGGAAGUGGGACAUCGUAGGUCAUGAAAUUAAAUACAGUUAAAGAAAAACUACAUAGAAGAUGGUAAAAUAUAGUAGAACAGAAAAAAAGAUUUACAAUUUGCAUAUAAUCUGUGUGUUGGUAGUAAAUUUGUUGCUUGGGAUGGAUGAGUGGAGGAGUUUAGACUAGAAAAUAAUACAAAUAUAUAAAUUAUACAUUAUAUUAGUAAUUAAACAAAAACACAGAUUUAAACAUUGAUCCAAUAAAGCUAAUGCUGACAGUUAAAUAUUGAUUUAAUAAAUUGCUCUCUGGGAUUGGCACAAGUAACAGAGAGAAAUAGCCAAAUAAGGGCCAACACUUUAGUUUGUAUUUUUUCAGCCUGCCCACAGGACGUAAAAUACCAGAUUAUUUCCCACCUUCAAUUGCGAUUGUACAAAUUUAUCCCCUUUAAUCUUAAUCUUCCUCAAAGUAAUAUAUCGGCCAUUUCUUGUAAAGUUGUCCUCAAACUAGUAUUGUAGUAGAAGACAACUACUUUUUUAAAGUUGAGUUGAUAAGUAAUCUUAACAGUACAGACAACAUGCAGGCCUUAGGCUAGCAGCUGCUACUGUUUUAGUUAAACAAUGUACAGUUUUAUACUUGAUAGUGUCAAAAAAGUACUACAUAAACAGGAGAUUACUUAUCAAGUAAUUAUCAAGUCAACUGGUGCUAAAUGGUGUGUAUAAAUGGUGUUAUAUCUACAGUAAAAAAAAGGAAAGGGCAAACAUCUGAUUGGCUGAUUACCAAAUUUGGUGUAAAAGAAAUGUUUUAUUUUAGCAAAAAACACUGGCCUAAUAAAACAUUUUUUGAAGUUA